GAUGAACGCUGGCGGCGUGCCUAACACAUGCAAGUCGAGCGAUUCUCUUCGGAGAAGAGCGGCGGACGGGUGAGUAACGCGUGGGUAACCUGCCCUGUACACACGGAUAACAUACCGAAAGGUAUGCUAAUACGGGAUAAUAUAAGAAAUUCGCAUGUUUUUCUUAUCAAAGCUCCGGCGGUACAGGAUGGACCCGCGUCUGAUUAGCUAGUUGGUGAGGUAACGGCUCACCAAGGCGACGAUUCAGUAGCCGACCUGAGAGGGUGAUCGGCCACAUUGGAACUGAGACACGGUCCAAACUCCUACGGGAGGCAGCAGUGGGGAAUAUUGCACAAUGGGCGAAAGCCUGAUGCAGCAACGCCGCGUGAGCGAUGAAGGCCUUCGGUCGUAAAGCUCUGUCCUCAAGGAAGAUAAUGACGGUACUUGUAGGAGGAAGACCCGGCUAACUAACGUGCCAGCAGCCGCGGUAAACGUAAGCGUG
rnacentral:rRNA from 1 species